rnacentral:rRNA from 1 species
GUGGGGAAUCUUGCGCAAUGGGCGAAAGCCUGACGCAGCGACGCCGCGUGCGGGAAGAAGGCCUUCGGGUUGUAAACCGCUUUCAGGAGGGACGAAGCCACUCGGGUGAAUAGCCCAGAGGGUGACGGUACCUCCAGAAGAAGCCCCGGCUAACUACGUGCCAGCAGCCGCGGUAAUACGUAGGGGGCAAGCGUUGUCCGGAUUCAUUGGGCGUAAAGCGCGUGUAGGCGGCUGAGUAGGUCUGAUGUGAAAACUCGAGGCUCAACCUCGAGACGUCGUCAGAAACCACUCGGCUAGAGUCCGGAAGAGGAGAGUGGAAUUCCUGGUGUAGCGGUGAAAUGCGCAGAUAUCAGGAAGAACACCAAUGGCGAAGGCAGCUCUCUGGGACGGUACUGACGCUGAGACGCGAAAGCGUGGGGAGCGAACAGGAUUAGAUACCCGUGUAGUCC